rnacentral:rRNA from 1 species
UGGGGAAUAUUGGACAAUGGGGGCAACCCUGAUCCAGCAAUGCCGCGUGAGUGAUGAAGGCCUUCGGGUUGUAAAGCUCUUUUGGCGGGGACGAUGAUGACGGUACCCGCAGAAUAAGCCCCGGCUAACUUCGUGCCAGCAGCCGCGGUAAUACGAAGGGGGCUAGCGUUGUUCGGAAUUACUGGGCGUAAAGGGCGCGUAGGCGGCUUUCCAAGUCAGGCGUGAAAAUCCUGGGCUUAACCCGGGGACUGCGCUUGAUACUGGAAGGCUUGAAUUCGGGAGAGGAUGGCGGAAUUCCCAGUGUAGAGGUGAAAUUCGUAGAUAUUGGGAAGAACACCGGUAGCGAAGGCGGCCAUCUGGACCGACAUUGACGCUGAGGCGCGAAAGCGUGGGGAGCAAACAGG